GCCCAGGGCUGCCAGAGGUUGGAGGCGGAGGCGGGGGCAUCGGGCAGGCCCUGAGGGGCCGCUUAGUUUUGGAGGGUCCGCCUUCCUCCCUCCAAAGGGCUAGGAGGCUGUGGCCUUGGCCCCGCAGGGUCUAGCUUGGUGCCCGUUAAGUCUGGCUGUUGGAUGAGAAAAUUGUUCUGUUUUUUGUGGGAUUUUUCUCCCUCCAGACACCCUUUUCAAAUCUGCGUGGAUUUGCCUCAAGAGCCGCGGAGUCUUGUGGUAUCUAGUUAACUGAUUCAACCAGCGGACCCUCUGUGUGUCAGAAACUGCAAGGAGUUGCUAGCCCAGUGGGGCAGGCGGACUGGAAGACCAGGAGAGUCCAGGCCCACGGCAGUGUGACACUGCCUUCUGUGACCAUGAAAUUCUGGAUGUCCACGUUGCUGGUGGCAUGGUUUGGUGUCCUGGGCUGUGUGCGGGCUGAAUUCUUCACUUCUAUUGGGCACAUGACGGACCUGAUUUAUGCAGAGAAGGACCUGGUGCAGUCCCUGAAGGAGUACAUCCUAGUGGAGGAAGCCAAGCUCUCCAAGAUUAAGAGCUGGGCCAACAAAAUGGAAGCCCUGACCAGCAAGUCGGCUGCUGACCCUGAGGGCUACCUGGCCCACCCUGUGAAUGCCUAUAAACUGGUGAAGCGGCUGAACACAGACUGGCCUGCGCUAGAGGACCUUGUCCUGCAAGACUCGGCUGCAGGUUUUAUUGCUAACCUGUCAGUGCAGCGACAGUUCUUUCCCACUGAGGAGGAUGAAACAGGAGCCGCGAAGGCCUUGAUGAGGCUUCAGGACACAUACAAACUGGACCCAGACACGAUUUCCAAAGGGGAACUUCCAGGAACCAAGUACCAGGCAGUUCUGAGUGUGGAUGACUGCUUUGGGAUGGGCCGCUCAGCCUACAAUGAAGGGGACUAUUAUCACACAGUGCUGUGGAUGGAGCAGGUGCUAAAGCAGCUUGACGCUGGGGAGGAGGCCACCACAUCCAAGGCCCAGGUGCUGGACUACCUGAGCUAUGCCGUCUUCCAGUUGGGCGACCUUCACCGUGCCCUGGAGCUCACCCGCCGUCUGCUCUCCCUUGACCCGAGCCAUGAACGAGCUGGAGGGAAUCUGCGGUACUUUGAACGGUUGUUGGAGGAAGAAAGAGAAAAAAUGUUAUCAAAUCACACAGCUGUACUAGCAACCCAGGAGGGCAUCUAUGAGAGGCCUGUGGACUACCUGCCCGAGAGGGAUGUCUACGAGAGCCUCUGUCGUGGGGAGGGUGUCAAACUGACACCUCGAAGGCAGAAGAGGCUUUUCUGUAGGUACCACCAUGGCAACAGGACGCCGCAGCUGCUCAUCGCCCCCUUCAAAGAGGAGGAUGAGUGGGACAGCCCACACAUCGUCAGGUACUACGAUGUCAUGUCUGACGAGGAAAUCGAGAGGAUCAAGGAGAUUGCAAAACCCAAACUUGCACGAGCCACUGUUCGUGAUCCCAAGACAGGUGUCCUCACUGUCGCCAGCUACAGAGUUUCCAAAAGCUCCUGGCUGGAGGAAAAUGAUGACCCUGUUGUGGCUCGAGUGAAUCUUCGGAUGCAGUACAUCACAGGGCUAACAGUAAAGACUGCAGAAUUGUUGCAGGUUGCUAAUUAUGGAAUGGGAGGACAGUACGAGCCACAUUUUGACUUCUCCAGGAAGAAUGAGCAAGAUGCUUUCAAGCGUUUAGGGACGGGGAAUCGUGUGGCCACAUUCUUAAACUACAUGAGUGAUGUAGAAGCUGGUGGUGCCACUGUCUUUCCUGAUCUGGGGGCUGCAAUUUGGCCUAAGAAGGGCACAGCUGUAUUCUGGUACAACCUCCUGCGGAGUGGAGAAGGUGACUACCGAACGAGACAUGCUGCCUGUCCCGUGCUUGUGGGCUGCAAGUGGGUUGGCCCUUCAUAUACGCUGUUCCUCUGUAUCCGGGAUCUGGAUUAGCAGAUUCAGCCAACUAUGGAUCAUGUAGCACUGUUGUAUUUGCUACUGAAAAAAAUCCACGUUCUCCAAUAAGUGGUUCCAUGAACGAGGGCAGGAGUUCUUGAGGCCGUGUGGAUCAACAGAAGUUGACUGACAUCCUUUUCUGCCUUUCCCCUUCCUGGCCCCACAGCCCAUGUUGUCUUCAAGUUCAACGUGACAGACCCCUCUGUAUGUUCCAGCCCCUGUCAGGAGGGUCUUUGGAGGAGUGAAUGUUUGUCCGGAGCAGAGAGUGGACUGGGGAAGGUCUUGGGUGACCUGCGUCCAAGCCUCUCCAGUCAGCCUGUGCUAUCUCUGGCCGCAAGGGUAGGUUGGAGUGGCUGCAGCAGAGUUGGGCUGUCUAGCACCUAGCAAGGUGCUUUUGUACCUCAGAUGCUUUAGGUGUGAGAUGUUUCAGUGAACCAAAGUACUGAUACCUUGUUUACAUGUCUGUUUUUAUGGAAUUUCUACUAAUGUGGCUUUAACCAAAAAUAAAAUGUCCCUGCCAGAAGCCUUAAA